GACAGAGGGUGCAAACGUUGUUCGGAAUCACUGGGCGUAAAGCGUGUGUAGGCGGCCACCCAAGUCGGAUGUGAAAGCCCUGGGCUCAACCCAGGAAGUGCACCCGAAACUGUGUGGCUCGAGUACUGGAGAGGUUGGUGGAAUUCUCGGUGUAGAGGUGAAAUUCGUAGAUAUCGAGAGGAACACCGGUGGCGAAGGCGGCCAACUGGACAGGUACUGACGCUGAGGUGCGAAAGCGUGGGGAGCAAACAGG
rnacentral:rRNA from 1 species